rnacentral:rRNA from 1 species
CCUACGGGGGGCAGCAGUGGGGAAUAUUGGACAAUGGGCGAAAGCCUGAUCCAGCAAUGCCGCGUGUGUGAAGAAGGUCUUCGGAUCGUAAAGCACUUUCGACGGGGACGAUGAUGACGGUACCCGUAGAAGAAGCCCCGGCUAACUUCGUGCCAGCAGCCGCGGUAAUACGAAGGGGGCUAGCGUUGCUCGGAAUGACUGGGCGUAAAGGGCGCGUAGGCGGUUUAUGCAGUCAGAUGUGAAAUCCCCGGGCUUAACCUGGGGACUGCAUUUGAGACGCAUGGACUAGAGGUCGAGAGAGGGUUGUGGAAUUCCCAGUGUAGAGGUGAAAUUCGUAGAUGUUGGGAAGAACACCGGUGGCGAAGGCGGCAAUCUGGCUCGAUACUGACGCUGAGGCGCGAAAGCGUGGGGAGCAAACAGGAUUAGAUACCCGAGUAGUC